rnacentral:rRNA from 2 species
UGAGUGCUUGCACUCAGCGGUCAAAGUGCGAGUGGCGAACGGGUGAGUAACACGUGGGCAAUCUGCCCAAAAGUGGGGGAUAACACUUGGAAACAGGUGCUAAUACCGCAUCAACCGGCUGACCGCAUGGUCGGCCGGGCAAAGACGGCGUCAGCUGUCGCUUUUGGAUGAGCCCGCGGCGUAUUAACUAGUUGGUAAGGUAACGGCUUACCAAGGUGAUGAUACGUAGCCGAACUGAGAGGUUGAUCGGCCACAUUGGGACUGAGACACGGCCCAAACUCCUACGGGAGGCAGCAGUAGGGAAUCUUCCACAAUGGACGCAAGUCUGAUGGAGCAACGCCGCGUGUAUGAAGAAGGUCUUCGGAUCGUAAAAUACUGUUGUCAGAGAAGAACACGUGAUAGAGUAACUGCUAUGGCGCUGACGGUAUCUGACCAGCAAGUCACGGCUAACUACGUGCCAGCAGCCGCGGUAAUACGUAGGUGGCAAGCGUUGUCCGGAUUUAUUGGGCGUAAAGGGAACGCAG